rnacentral:rRNA from 1 species
UACGGGGGGGAGCAAGCGUUGUUCGGAUUCAUUGGGCGUAAAGGGUGCGUAGGCGGCGCGGUAAGUCGGGUGUGAAAUCUCGGGGCUUAACUCCGAAACUGCAUUCGAUACUGCCGUGCUUGAGGACUGGAGAGGAGACUGGAAUUUACGGUGUAGCGGUGAAAUGCGUAGAUAUCGUAAGGAAGACCAGUGGCGAAGGCGGGUCUCUGGACAGUUCCUGACGCUGGAGGCACGAAGGUCAGGGGAGCAAACGGG